rnacentral:rRNA from 1 species
AACACGUGGGGAACCUGCCCAUAAGAGGGUUAUAACAUCCGGAAACGGGUGCUAAUACCGCAUAGGUGAUCAUAGCGCAUGCUUAGAUCAUUAAAGAUGGCUUCGGCUAUCGCUUAUGGAUGGCCCCGCGGCGUAUUAGCUAGUUGGUGAGGUAAUGGCUCACCAAGGCUGUGAUACGUAGCCGACCUGAUAGGGUGAUCGGCCACACUGGAACUGAUACACGGUCCAGACUCCUACGGGAGGCAGCAGUAGGGAAUCUUCCACAAUGGGCGAAAGCCUGAUGGAGCAAUACCGCGUGAGUGAAGAAGGUCUUCGGAUCUUAAAGCUCUGUUGUUAGAGAAGAACAAGAGGUGUAGUAACUGGCACCUCCUUGACGGUAUCUAACCAUAAAGUCACGGCUAACUACGUGCCAGCAGCCGCGGUAAUACGUAUGUGACAAGCGUUGUCCGGAUUUAUUGGGCGUAAAGCGAGCGCUUGCGGCCUUUUAAGUCUGAUGUGAAAGCCCACGGUUCAUCCGUGGAGGGUCAUUGGAAACUGGAAGACUUGAAUGCAGAAGAGGAAAGUGGAAUUCCAUGUGUACCGGUGAAAAUGCGUAUAUAUAUGGAGGAACACC